rnacentral:rRNA from 1 species
AUACGUAGGGGGCGAGCGUUGUCCGGAAUGAUUGGGCGUAAAGGGCGCGUAGGCGGCCCGGUAAGUCUGGAGUGAAAGUCCUGUUUUUAAGAUGGGAAUUGCUUUUGAAACUGUAUCCCUUGAGUAUCGGAGAGGCAGGCGGAAUUCCUAGUGUAGCGGUGAAAUGCGUAGAUAUUAGGAGGAACACCAGUGGCGAAGGCGGCCUGCUGGACGACAACUGACGCUGAGGCGCGAAAGCGUGGGGAGCAAACAGGAUUAGAUACCCUGGUAGUCCACGCUGUAAACGAUGAAUACUAGGUGUGGGGGGACUGACCCCCUCCGUGCCGCAGUUAACACAAUAAGUAUUCCACCUGGGGAGUACGAUCGCAAGAUUGAAACUCAAAUGAAUUGACGGG